GAUGUACUAUUUAUUUUCGUGCCGAGUUCGGAGACUCCCUACAGCGUGAAAACACACAAUCCUAUAACGAUUGAAGAAGCAAUCUGGUAUUGGGCUCGAACCAAGUUCACGGCAUAAAUCACCAGGGGAAUCCGUCAGGAGCAGGGUUGAUUUUACGACCGAAUAGUUCACUCGGGUAGACGUCAAGAAGCGAAACCCACAGGAAAGUCUGGAAGAUGGAAGACCUACCAAACGGUAAUGUGGAAGAAUUCAGAAAAUCUGACGGUUACGACGCGAAGAUUUCACAAGAAAAUCUCACCGAUGUAAAACCAAAGUUUACCACAGGAAAACCGACUGUAUGGCUGGUAAUUUCUGUCAUCGCCGUGACUUUCGGGAGCUCGGCCCAGUACGGGUAUGGUAUUGGAGUUCUCACUGGUCCAUCUUUGGUAAGUCAUUGUUUAUCUUUUUAAUCUUUAUAAUGUUUGAUUUGGAAUAGAUGGGUUUAUUAUUUGCACUGCUCCACGCACUCGUAUCAUGCUUUAAUAUGUUUUAUCACUAUGAUUAAGUAAAAAGUUUUUUAAUCCUUUUUUUUUCUAAGCCUUAAUCUAGGCCAAACUUAAAGUUAAUUGAAUUAAAUAACCUUGGUUUGCCUGGACGGGUUUGAUAAUAAAUUUAGACUCUCCAGCGUUCAAAGUCAUUAUAGAUCUACUAAAUGUAUAGACCCGUUCGAACAUUUGUAAGAAGUUUUAGCUUAAUGUGUUCAUUGUAUUAAAUUCAAGUUUCUCAAAUAAAGUUCUAGGCCCCCUAUCCCUAAAAUGAUCUUGAAUGUUGAUGAGUGAUGUUGACGUCUUGAAGUGGUGUGUCGGAUUGAUCGGACGAACAUGACUGAUACAUUUGUUGAUAUUGAUAUGGAAAACGUCUUUGAAAUCUUGAUUUUCUUUGUGAAAACUGUCCUUAAGGUUAAUGAUUUUAGAUAAAAAAAUUCAUGAUUUCUGUGAUUGAAAAUGUAGUUAAACUGUUCACGAUAUCACCGAAAUUCAUACUUAAUUUCUUAGUUUAUUACUGGAGUAGAGGUAUGAUAAGGCAUGAUGCAUUUUCGUAACUUUGAGAUGAGCAUCUGAAAAAAAUAUGGGAAGAAAUUUACAAAUUCAGUUCCCAUUUCCGAUGAAUAAAGUUAAUCUCUAAGAAGAAGAAGAAAAGAUAUAGGCCGUACUCAACCCGUCAAUCGUGUUUCUUGGUUCUCAAAAUCUAACAAACGGCAAAUCAAAUAAAAUUUGAAAUUUACAAUUGCAACUCAUGUUCCCUGGUGACAUUCUCCCCUUUCACCCUUUUACUAAUCAGAGAAUUGCACCUCUUUCAAAGCACGCGAUCAAAAGGGGUGAUCAAUUCGUUGAUAAAAGAAAUAUUUCGAAUAAAACACCUUGACAAUAAAGCGUGCGUUGGAUAGCUGCCAAUUCGGAAGUUUCAUGGUCACUACUGGUCAGUGACCAAACGAGCUGAAUGGACCCUGGAUUUUGGACGAUUUUCGGAACCACUGACGCCUAAACAGUUAAGGAGACUACUAUUCAUUUCCAAAUAUCCCUGUCAUAUUUAAUACUGACCCUUCAAUAUGAUUGACAUCAUUUGAUUAGUGUGAACAGUUGUGAACUAGUAAUUUUGUCGCAGGGUGAGAUGCGUUCGAUCGUGUAAUAUUCAGAAAUCAAACACAACCCCUAAAUAUAUACGGCUUUUAACGGUUUUAUAAUAUACAAAUAUUUAUAACAUAUUAUAACAUUUUGAUUUCCGUUAUGUGACUGACGUUCAUGAUCUUUGGCUUACGCAAGAAGUUUAGUGCAAUUUCCAACCCAAGCAUCGUGACAAACGUGCCCCGAAUUACAAUUUCCUGAUCGUAAUCCCUCUUUCUUUGUCACAGUUUGAUUUUACUGAAUAAAUCUGUGCUGUCUUCUCUCCAAGAAGCUUUAGAUGUCAGUUAGAGGAGAAGGAGAAAAGAAAGAGCUCGACAGUUUUUCCCAAAUAUUAAAAAGAAUAAUAUAAAAAGAAGUAGUUUGGCUUACGUUACCACCUCCCGGCCACCUCCCCUCUGCAAACACUAGUACAGUCUUGACAUAACGUCGUAAGCAAAUAAUUAGAUAAAGUUGUCCAUAUUUCACUGCAACGUUCCACCGGAUUUACAGACAGAUAUUAGAAGUAACUGUUUUCUGAAGUGGAAAAAGUGUAGCUCAGUAGCUACAACCAUUUUAGUUUCAGUGAAACUUUUUAGCAAACGAUAAGCUAUCAUUUAUCAUAUACAUGGCAUAUUAAAUAAUAACAAAGAGGUAAGAUUGAUUUUCAGGUGGGUCGAAUUUUGGCGGAGCGCAGGAAGAAGGACACUCAGAUCUUGGGAAAGAUAUUUCGAAAGAUAUUCGAUUUCCAGGGGAAUUUUGUUUGUCGAUAGUAACAUUGCCAGACAGCUUAACUUAAAAAAACAUUGCCGCAUGAUCAAUAUUAAAUUGCUUAUAGGCCGAUUGAUAAUUCAAAUUUAGUAAAAUGACUCUAUUUAUUAAAAGGCAUUAAGGGGGAAAUAACAAAUAAACGGAAUAUAAGUAAUUUUUUCCAUUAUGUAGGCCUAUAUGUGAUGUCAAAUUAUGACAUAAAUAAAAUCACAGAGAAAUUAUACAUGUAUUGUGGUGAAAUUUCUUGAACAUUUCAAGAUGCUGAAACAAAACCGACAGGGGAAUCAAUAUAGUCCUAUACAUGUAUGUAUGCACUAAAUAGCCCUCCCACAUUUAGGGACUAUCUACUUUUUAACGAUUCAUAUUUAGUGUGUGACCUUUUCGAGGGUUUAGUGAAUUCAAUGUCAGAUUAAACAAUUGUUCUGAAGUGUUGAGUGGUUAUUAUGUGACUUCAAAAUGUGAUUCUGUUUGUUUUGGUUAUGACUCAAACUUGAAUUUGCACUCAUACACGCAUACUGAUGUGCGUAGCAUGGGGGCCACUCCUACAGUGCCCCGCCCCCGUCCCGCCCAUACCCAUCCCCUAUUAACCCCUUCCAUCCGUCGUUUCACCUGCGCCAUCUUCUAAUUCCAUCAUCACGUUUUUUCUCAUAUCCGUCCGCAAGGAUUACCUGUACCUCUCCCUGAUACAGGUAACCUUAAUAUGUUUUAUCCAGUCGAAUCUAUUUAGGACCACGGAAAAUAUUACUGGUAGAAAUUUUACUUCUGGAGACAUGGCGUACAGAUUAUGUUUUAGUUUUACAUAAUCUGGUACAUGCAGGGAGAGAUCUAGCUUUUUCCAAGGAGGGAAUUCGAUUUUGACAGAGAAAUUUGACAAGCAAAAAUGAAUAAAUAAAUAAAAGGGGGAGGGGGCUUCACUACAAAAUGCAGGUCAUUUUGGUACCGAUGAUAUUUUUUACAAGCCCCCCGUAAAGGGUUCAUAAUGAAGGGAAUUUGAGGUUUGCUCCAAAAUGUAGGUCAUUACUUUUUUUCAUUUACUUGGCAGCGGCCCAAGGGGGGGGGGGGGGUUAAAAACCCCUAACCCCCGUAGACCCGUCACUGACACGUACAAAAUAACUUUGACUUGGGCGAAUAAGUUUAUUUUAGGUCGACUUAAAAUAAAAGUUGAGCUGUAUACCCUCUCCUUUCCCUCCCUUCAUAUCUGCAAACCUUCCAAUCUUACCCCCCCCCUCCUAACCAAAUGAGAUGACACAUGCAUGUGUAACCGACAUGAGAUAGAUGCAGAGACUAUUAUCCUGAGAUAAUCGGCAUAGUGUAGGAGUUGGCGAGGUUUCAGAUCGUUCCUUCUGAUGGACGAGGAGCCUUUUUUAUGAAUGAGUCAGGAUCCUGUCUAACAUCUCUUCAAGUUCACCAAGGGUCAUACAGAGUUCUCAUACAGUCUCAUCAUCAUUGCAUUAAUGAUAUGAGAUGAAAAUUGCAAACAUUUAUUAUUAAAAGAAUCCGCUCAAAGUUGGGCGGCGCCACAAUAAUGAAAAGUGAAUACUG